GUGCACGCGCUCCUGGGAUGGGGGAAAACGGGAAUGGGGGUCAGGGAGGCAGCGGGGGGGCGUGGGGGCGAGGGUGGGCUCGGCGCCGGCGGCGCCGGGCUGGCAAAAAGUUCAGUUUGCACACUCAAAAUUGGGUUUACGCCUCUCGAAGUGCACCCCAAGCAACCAAAAUUGAGUUUAUGCCUCUCAAAUUCCACCCAAGCAACCAGAAUUGGGUUUACACCUCUCAAAGUCCAGCCCCAGCACCCAAAAUUGGGUUUGGGACACUCAAAAUGCACCCAAGCACCCAGAAUUGGGUUUGGGACACUCAAAUUCCACCCAAGCACCCAAAAUUGGGUUUGGGACACUCAAAAGUCCAGCCUAAGCACCCAAAAUUGGGUUUGGGACACUCAAAUUCCACCCAAGCACCCAGAAUUGGGUUUGGGACACUCAAAUUCCACCCAAGCACCCAAAAUUGAGUUUACACCUCCCAAAGUCCCAAACCAGGUACCCAAAAUUCCAUCUACACCCAAACUCAGCUCCCGGUGCCCAUUCCCAGUGCCAUUCCCAGUGCCCAUUCCCAGCGCCAUUCCCAGCGCCAUUCCCAGUGCCAUUCCCAGUGCCCAUUCCCAGUGCUCCCAGUGCCAUUCCUGGUGCCCAUUCCCAGUGCCAAUUCCCAGUGCCAUUCCCACCAUUCCCAGUGCCAUUCCCAGUGCCAUUCCCAGUGCCCAUUCCCAGUGCCCAUUCCCGGUGUGCAUUCCCAGUGCCAUUCCC
rnacentral:lncRNA from 1 species